AUUGAACGCUGGCGGCAGGCUUAACACAUGCAAGUCGAGCGAGCGGCGGACGGGUGAGUAAUGUCUGGGAAACUGCCUGAUGGAGGGGGAUAACUACUGGAAACGGUAGCUAAUACCGCAUACCAUCAGAUGUGCCCAGAUGGGAUUAGCUAGUAGGUGGGGUAAUGGCACACCAAGGCGACGAUCCCUAGCUGGUCUGAGAGGAUGACCAGUAACAGUGGAAUGGGGAAACGGUCCACACUCCUGCGUGAGGCAGCAGUGGGGAAUAUUGCACAAUGGGAGCAAGCCUGAUACAGCCAUGCCGCGUGUUUGAAGAAGGCCUUCGGGUUGUAAAGCACUUUCAGCGAGGAGGCGUUACUCGCAGAAGAAGCACCGGCUAACUUCGUGCCAGCAGCCGCGGUAAUAC
rnacentral:rRNA from 1 species